CAUAACUUGGCAGGGGAGAGACGGAGUUUUACUGUGUUGCCCAGGCUGGUCUGCAACUCUUGGGUAGCUGUCUCAUCCUCCCAAAGUGCUGGGAUUACAGUCUAACGAACACCGAGUGUUGCUGCACGUGGAACAGGCGCGGAUUCUGUCUUCUCUCCGUGCCCUGUCAGCACCGGGGAUGAACUGGUGAGGGGAAGACUGCAGGAAAACACUUCACAACCAAAGCGGAUGAAAGCGAGUCCAGACUCAUGAGGACCCCUCCCACUGACAGCGGUGACCUCGAGUCAGUGGGACCCCAGCGCUGUAGUGCUUUGCACUCACCUUGACUCCCACCGAGCUCGGCGGUUGCUCUCCGCCUGCAGCGUAGGCGGAGCGGAGCCCUAGCGCGCAUGCGCGCACAUCCCGACCGUUGGCUGCGUGCGCGGGGCCUGCCGGGACCGCCCGCGCCCUCCGGUCAGCAGGGGAGCUAGCCGGGCUUGUUCCCUUACGUUUUAAUAUCUUCACUCUUGCUCCCUCCCAGCGAAGCAGAGAAAAGAUAGGUCUACGUUUGGUUUUUGUUGUUAUCUCAGGCAAAUGAUGUUGAUGUUUAAAAAAUUCAAAACGCUGCUUCAGGGAAUGCAAAAUGUCUAGUCACUUUGGAAGACAUUCCAGUAUUCCCUGGAAGGACUCAACAUAAAGUUACCCUAUGAUCCAGCAAUUCCACUCUUAGACACGGUCUCACUCUGUCACCCAAGCUGGAAUGCAGUGGUGCCAUCUCAGCUGACCGCAACUUCCAUCUCGUGGGCUCAAGGGAUACUCCCGCUUCAGCCUCUGCAAUAGCUGGAACUAUAAGCGCAUGCCACCACACCUG